rnacentral:rRNA from 1 species
UACGUAGGGGGCGAGCGUUGUCCGGAAUUAUUGGGCGUAAAGAGCGUGUAGGCUGUUCGGUAAGUCUGCCGUGAAAAACCUGAGGCUCAACCUCGGGCGUGCGGUGGAUACUGCCGGGCUAGAGGACGGUAGAGGCGAGUGGAAUUCCCGGUGUAGCGGUGAAAUGCGCAGAUAUUCGCAAGAACACCAGUGGCGAAGGCGGCUUACUGGUCCGGUUCUGACGCUGAGGCGCGAAAGCGUGGGGGAGCAAACAGG